rnacentral:rRNA from 1 species
UACGAAGGGGGCGAGCGUUGUUCGGAAUUACUGGGCGUAAAGGGCGCGCAGGCGGCUCUGAAAGUCAGAUGUGAAAGCCCCGGGCUUAACCUGGGAAUUGCAUUUGAUACUCUGGAGCUUGAGUACGGGAGAGGAGAGUGGAAUUCCCAGUGUAGAGGUGAAAUUCGUAGAUAUUGGGAAGAACACCGGUGGCGAAGGCGGCUCUCUGGACCGUAACUGACGCUGAGGCGCGAAAGCGUGGGGAUCAAACAGGG